rnacentral:lncRNA from 10 species
UGUCAGGGAUAAGAACCUCUUCCCCUCCCUUGUCCAAGUGUGUGCUCACCAUUGCUCCAUAUGCAAGGGCACAUGCUUCUAUAGAAGUACAUUGCCUUGCGAGAAUUACAAAGAAAAUUUUAUAUUGGAGUGAUAUUUCUUUUGUGGCACCAAAACUUUAUUUAUAACAAUUUGGGGGCUCAUCCAGGAUUACAUUCCCCUCCGAGGGUGAUCUCUGGUCCUCUCUUGCAAGCAGGCUUGCUCCGCCCCCUUGUGGCAGCCUCAGGGGUGAGAAAUCAGGACCCACCCAGUGCAAGAUAUAACUUGAGCUCUCAGCAAUGCAGAAAGAAACUCCCUAGCAACCUAGCUGCAGGAAUGACUCUGUGCACAGAUCAAGAAAGGAGAAGCCACGGGAGCUGCACAAAAUGGAUUAAGACAUCUCUCCUGGUACUUAUGCUUUCUUGGAGGAGGAGGUAAUAUGGGUCUGACCUUAAGAAAAUAGGACCUUCCAUUUUCUAGCUCCUGGAACACUUCCACUUAGCACCCAGCCAUCAGACUGUGUAUGAGGAGAGGAACUGAGACCUGCAGACCAAUAACCUAAGCUGAACUCGCAGCUGAAAGCUAACCCACCUCUAAUGGACUCUCCACUCAAAAUCCAGAUUAGUGAACCAAAUAUAUGACUGUUGUUUUUAAGCCACUAUGUUUUAGCAUGGUAUGUUACACACCAAUAGAUAACUAAAACUGUUCUCUCACCAUCUCAACAUCCUCUUCAUAUUUUCUAAAUAAUAAAAUAUGCCAUUUGAUUUUACAAGAAACAAAUGUUAGAUGGCAGGGCUGAAGUUAAAUGGGAACCUAAUGUUCACAACGACUAACAGAUUUGUAAAUUGAGCUUAUAUGUCUACAUCAAAGUUCUCAAUCUUUAUUUAUGCUAUAGUUUAAAGCAUGACUAUACUUUUCAGCUGACUCUCUUGAAAAGUGGAGUAUAAUUAAUAUAUUGAUACCUGGAUAUAUUAUAUUUUAGUUCAUGAUUCCAUUUAGUCCUGAAAAAUAGAAGGCAUUGUCAUUUUGUAGACAUCUCCUUGAUAUAUUUGUGUUAGAGUUAACUCAAUUUUUUAAAUGUAAGAUUUAACUCUAUGACACUAAUCACCUGUCAUCAGUCACUGACUAUAGUUCAAUAUCAUUUGAGUCACCAAGGCUAAGAUAUACCAGAUAACUGUUUCAGUACAGGUGAUUUGCAUUUAUCAUCUAAGAGCUUAUAAGAACCUCCUCUCACUAAAAUAUCAGAGGUCUAACUUUUACCCCCUUCCUCACAUCAAAAGCAUAAAACGCUGAGAUAUAUAAAGAGGAGAUUUCAGGGAGUUUGAGAACUUACUCAAAUGAUGUAACUCAUUUGACAAAUGACUUGCUUCAUGCAUCUUUUAGAUAGCUAAGUCCAAUUAGCUAAAAUUAUAGUUGAAUUGAAUAUGUAAAUAUCUAUAAAGUUGGCCUAAUUAGAUCCAUAGGGUGGUGUAGCAUCUGUGUUUAAAGCCCAGCAAUUGUGAAGAGGUUUUGGUUGCAAGCUUAGGGGAGGCUGUGAAGACUGGCAAGUCUAAGUCCUCCCGUGGAAUCUGAGAUUUCACAGGUAGUAUCUGAGGAUGGGUGUGAGAUUACUGCUCAAGCCAGAAAGAUUAACAGCUGCCUCAAUGGGAAUAAGAGUCACUAGGAAAUUUGAUUCUAUCAUUCCUGAAUCCAAGGUGGCGUUAACAAGCUUAUUAUGUAAGAAAGCAGCCUCUGUUACUAAUCUAAGCUGUAUCUGUUUUUCUGCUUACGCCUAUGAACCAGAACAUAAGAAGUAGUAGAACAAAUGAUAUGAAUCUACAAAUUAUGCCACGUAUUUUAAUUCUUCACUAUUUAAAUAAUUAAAAACUAAGUUUUCUUCUAAAUGUGUCACAUAGUAUAGAUUUUCUAGGGUGCACUUAAGAAAUUUGGUGUACUCAAGAUGAUCAACCUGUCUCAAAAUAAACUUAGAUUUUUUGAAGACUCUUCUGUUAAAUUGGACUUUGACCAUCACUGACACUUAUUUUGACCUUAUAAUACCAUAAAUAUGUACCCUUGAUCAAGACUCCAGCUGAUAGACCCUUAGCAUAGAUACAUAAAAAUAAUAAACCUUAUCUGAACAUCUGUUUUAAGUCAGCUUUUGCUGUGGAAGCUGUUACAAUUACAAAUUAUUUCCAUUUGAUUUCACUGAAAUUCAAUUAACUUCGAGCAAAAAUUAGCAACACUAAUUUUUAAAUAAGGAUGGGGUGAAGGUGAUAGUUAUUGUGGAGCAUUGAUAUGAUAGAAGCAGUGAGGGUAGAAAAUGUGUGAACGUUAAAUGCCUUUAUUACUCAUUUUACAUUUCAUCAGGUAUCAGAUGGCAUGAAAAUACGCUGUCUUGGUCUAUUUUCUUGCUACCACCCCUAAGAUAUCACAUACUUGGCUGUUUCUUAUUCUAAAACCACAGUCCCUUGGGGGCUAGCUAUUAUUUUAAUGAUCAGAGUGAUGAUGAGUCUCUGAAUACCUUAAGGUUUGUAUACUAAGGAUUAUCUCAAUUUAGCUAACAUAAGCUCUAUGAAUGUGUUGCAUAUAAAAUCAUUUUAUCUAAGGCCACAUAUUCUCAAAAGACAUAUUAUGUUGUAUUUUACACCUGAUGCAUUUACAGUUACCACUAACAAGCAAGAAAAAAAUCUCCUCUACAGAGUUUGAAGUAUAUAUUUUUAAAUUAUUGUUGCUUCUAAAAAUACAAAAAUAGAUUUGGAGGUUGAUAUUUUUGGCAGGGGCUCUGAAUAUUUUCAUGUGGAAGUCAGCAACCUAAUAAGCCUGACUUACUGAGUGGAUCAGUGGGUUGUAAUUCUGGUAACUUAUUUUUUAACUAGCUUGAGGCUAGGUCUAUCUCAAUUAUGCUUCAGGUUGUAUAAUAGAUUAUAUGGCAUAUUCAAUAAAGUUGAUAUUGUAUUAAACACAGUAGAGACAAUUAAUGAAUAUUUUUUUCUCGUGAGUUGAUAUUUUAAAAAGAGUUAAUUAUGUAGAAUUUUUUGAAAGGCUUUAUUCAAUAGGACUCAAUACCGGUCUGAUCAUCAUCCUACGAUAAUGGGAUAUGGGUCACAGCAGGGAGAAAAUCAAUAGUGCUGAUGGGCUAUUUUAUUUAAAUCUCAAGCAGUUUUCUCUUCAUAAUAAGAAGAUGUUUUCCAAUUAAAUUGUAAAUUUGAACUAAUAUAUUGUUUUAUAUAAGAUACUUUAUAACUUA